GAGGAAAAGAAACCAACAGGGAUUGCCUCAGUAACGGCGAGUGAAGCGGCAACAGCUCAAAUUUGAAAUCUGGCUCUUUCAGGGUCCGAGUUGUAAUUUGUAGAAGAUGCUUUGGGAACGGUUCCGGUCUAAGUUCCUUGGAACAGGACGUCAUAGAGGGUGAGAAUCCCGUAUGCGACCGGCCGCCUGCCCCGUGUAAAGCUCUUUCGACGAGUCGAGUUGUUUGGGAAUGCAGCUCAAAAUGGGUGGUAAAUUUCAUCUAAAGCUAAAUAUUGGCCAGAGACCGAUAGCGCACAAGUAGAGUGAUCGAAAGAUGAAAAGCACUUUGGAAAGAGAGUUAAACAGUACGUGAAAUUGUUGAAAGGGAAGCGCUUGCAACCAGACUUGCACGUAGUCAAUCAUCUGGUGUUCUCACCGGUGCACUUGGCUAUGUUCAGGCCAGCAUCGGUUCAGGUGGUGGGAUAAAGGCCUUGGGAAUGUAGCUUCUCUCGGGGAGUGUUAUAGCCCUCGGUGCAAUGCCGCCUACCUGGACCGAGGACCGCGCUUCGGCUAGGAUGCUGGCGUAAUGGUUGAAAGCGACCCGUCUUG
rnacentral:rRNA from 1 species